ensembl:snRNA U6 U6 spliceosomal RNA
GUGCUUGCUUCGGCAGCACAUAUACUAAAAUUGGAACGUUAUAGAGAACAUUAGCAUGGCCCCUGCGCAAGGAUAACACGCAAAUUCAUGAAGCAUUUUUU